AACGAACGCUGGCGGCAGGCUUAACACAUGCAAGUCGAACGGGCGUAGCAAUACGUCAGUGGCAGACGGGUGAGUAACACGUGGGAACCUUCCUAGGGGGUACGGAACAACUCAGGGAAACUUGAGCUAAUACCGUAUACGUCCGUGAGGAGAAAGAUUUAUCGCCCUUAGACGGGCCCGCGUCGGAUUAGCUAGUUGGUGGGUAACGGCCUACCAAGGCGACGAUCCGGUAGCUGAUCUGAGAGGAUGAUCAGCCACACUGGGACUGAGACACGGCCCAGACUCCUACGGGAGGCGGCAGUGGGGAAUCUUGGACAAUGGGCGCAAGCCUGAUCCAGCCAUGCCGCGUGAGUGAAGAAGGCCUUCGGGUUGUAAAGCUCUUUGUCAGGGACGAGUAAUGACGGUACCUGAAGAAUAAGCCCCGGCAAACUCGUGCCAGCAGCCGCGGUAA
rnacentral:rRNA from 1 species